AUUGAAGGACAGAAGAAACUCAAAGGAAGAACAUCUUAGAGGAUGGAGUCAAGAAUUUUGGAAAACUGGACAAGAGAACCCUUCCAAGACAUAAGAACUGCAAUUUAAUACGGGAACAUUCUCUGUGCCUAAGAGAUCAAAAGUUGAAGUGCCUAUAGGGACCCAGGCUAAGAAAUAAGAAGAAAUGAAAACUGGGCUAGACCAAGGAGUACAUACACUGCCCCACCAAGAAGGUUCCAGAGCUGCUUAGCUCCAGCCAACUAUUGCCACGGGGGACAGUGCAACCACAUGUUCUAGGUGUUCAGUAGAACUUCAAACAUCAAAAAAUUACUGGCCAGGUGUGGUGAAAACCUGCAGAAGACUGACAGUAAUGAAAGUGGCUUGAGAAAAAGUGAGGAUAUUUGCAGAUUGAAAAAAGAAAAACAACUUCCUAUUUGGGGGAAAAUCUCAGUGAUGAAAAAAAUUGUCUCAGGAGGAUUUCCCAGCAUCAUAAUCUUCCUGAACACUGAAUUCUCUAGUUAACUACAGAAAUCAUGUGUUACAUAAAGAUAAGAUGGUCAAGGAAGGAAAAGAUCUUACAAUAUAUUGCUAAUAA
rnacentral:lncRNA from 1 species